rnacentral:miRNA from 1 species
AACCUCAUCAAUUGGAAGGAAUUCCUUCCGAUCAAUGAGGUUUAUAACAACCUCAUCAAUUGGAAGGAAUUCCUUCCGAUCAAUGAGGUU